rnacentral:rRNA from 1 species
AUUGAACGCUGGCGGCAUGCUUUACACAUGCAAGUCGAACGGUAACAGGCCGCAAGGUGCUGACGAGUGGCGAACGGGUGAGUAAUGCAUCGGAACGUGCCCAGUCGUGGGGGAUAACUACUCGAAAGAGUAGCUAAUACCGCAUACGAUCUAUGGAUGAAAGCGGGGGACCGUAAGGCCUCGCGCGAUUGGAGCGGCCGAUGUCAGAUUAGGUAGUUGGUGGGGUAAAGGCUCGCCAAGCCAACGAUCUGUAGCUGGUCUGAGAGGACGACCAGCCACGCUGGGACUGAGACACGGCCCAGACUCCUACGGGAGGCAGCAGUGGGGAAUUUUGGACAAUGGGCGCAAGCCUGAUCCAGCAAUGCCGCGUGCAGGAAGAAGGCCUUCGGGUUGUAAACUGCUUUUGUACGGAACGAAACGGCUCUGGUUAAUACCCGGGGCUAAUGACGGUACCGUAAGAAUAAGCACCGGCUAACUACGUG